GAUGAAGAACGCAGCGAAAUGCGAAAAGUAAUGUGAAUUGCAGAAUUCAGUGAAUCAUCGAAUCUUUGAACGCACAUUGCGCCCGCCAGUAUUCUGGCGGGCAUGCCUGUCUGAGCGUCAUUUCAACCCUCACGCCCCUAGGGCGUGGUGUUGGGGAUCGGCCAGCGCCCUCGCGGGCGAGGCCGUCCCCUAAAUCUAGUGGCGGACCCGUCGUGGCCUCCCCUGCGAAGUAGUGAUAUUCCGCAUAGGAGAGCGACGAGCCCCUGCCGUUAAACCCCCAACUUUCCAAGGUUGACCUCAGAUCAGGUAGGAAUACCCGCUGAACUUAAGCAUAUCAAUAAGCGGAGGA
rnacentral:misc_RNA from 1 species